rnacentral:rRNA from 1 species
GAUGAACGCUGGCGGUGUGCCUAACACAUGCAAGUCGAGCGAACAGACGAGGAGCUUGCUCCCCUGACGUUAGCGGCGGACGGGUGAGUAACACGUGGAUAACCUACUUAUAAGUCUGGGAUAACUUCGGGAAACCGGUGCUACUACCAGAUCAUAUAUUGAACCGCAUGGAUCAAUAGUGAAUGACGGUUUUGCCGUCUCUUAGAGCUGGUUCCGCGUCGCAUUAGCUAGUUGGUAAGGUAACGGCUUACCAAGGCAACGAUGCGUAGCCGACCUGAGAGGGUGAUCGGCCACACUGGAACUGAGACACGGUCCAGACUCCUACGGGAGGCAGCAGUAGGGAAUCUUGCGCAAUGGGCGAAAGCCUGACGGAGCAACGCCGCGUGAGUGAUGAAGGUCUUCGGAUCGUAAAAUUCUGUUAUUAGGGAAGAACAAAUGUGUAAGUAACUAUGCACGUCUUGACGGUACCUAAUCAGAAAGCCACGGCUAACUACGUG